rnacentral:rRNA from 1 species
UACGAAGGUGGCAAGCGUUGUUCGGAAUCACUGGGCUUAAAGGGCAUGUAGGCGGCCGUGUAAGCGCUUUGUGAAAUCCCCCGGCUCAACCGAGGAAUUGCUGGGCGAACUGCACGGCUUGAGGCAAGUAGGGGUGCGUGGAACUCUUGGUGGAGCGGUGAAAUGCGUAGAUAUCAAGAGGAACGCCGGCGGCGAAAGCGGCGCACUGGGCUUGUCCUGACGCUGAUAUGCGAAAGCUAGGGGAGCAAACGGG